rnacentral:lncRNA from 10 species
AGGCGGCAGCUCGCGACGAGGACGCGCGGGAGGGAGCCGGGCCAGGCGGGCUGCGCGUUGCCCGGCUCAGGCUUCGGAACGGCCGCCUGGGGCAGGAACGGGGUCGCUGGGGCUCCGGGCAGGGCUCUGCGUCAAUCCCGCGCCGGGGGCACCCAUGCAGGGCGGCUGUGCCCGCCUCGGGGCACGGGGCUCCUCGGCGGCUCACCUUGGCAGCCCAGCGCCGUCGGAGUGGACGGACACGGCCCCGCUCAGCCGCGAGCUUGCAAAGGACCGAGGAGCCUCCCCCGCUGCUCACACACCUCCUCAGGGGACACUCAGGGGCCGGCCCCAACCUGGUCCCCUGGGCCAGCCUGAACGGACACCAGGGCCAUCUUUGUUGCCAGCUGCCCUACCUCUCCGUAAAAGAGGCUCAGAGAAGUGCUUUCUGGAGAGCAAACAAGGGGGCGGGGUAGCACACUGGAGAGAGGAAGGACCCCCGCCCAGGGAUGUCUGCUUAGAAGGCUGGGACGGACAGCGCUGACUUACAGAGCACAGUCUACCUUUACAAGCCCAUAGAUUCCUCAAAACGUGAGGCAUAUAGUCCCGCAAUCCCACUCCAAGGUAUGUAACCCCAAACUAUUGAAAGCAGGGACACACAUACACUGAUGUUCAUGGCAGCACUAUUCACAGUAGCCAAAAGACAGAAACAACCCAAAUGUCCAUCAGCUAAGUGGAUUAACAAAAUACAUAUAGUAUAUACAUGCAAUAGAAUAUUAUCCAGCUGUAAAAAGAAAUGAUAACAAGUGUUGGUGAGAAUGUGGAGAAACUGGAACCCUGUGCACUGUCGGUAGGAAAGUAAAAUGGUGAAGCCACUGUAGAAAACAGUAUAGGGUUUCCUCAAAAAGUUAAAAAAUACAAUUACCAUAUGAUCGAGUGUUUCCACUUCCGGGUGUCUAACCCAAAAAAUUAAAAGCAGGGUGAUACGGUUUGGCUGUGUCCCCACCCAAAUCUCAACUUGAAUUGUAUCUCCCAGAAUUCCCACGUAUUGUGGGAGGGACCCAGGGGAAGGUAAUUGAAUCAUGGGAGCCUGUUUUUCCCAUGCUAUUCUCGUGAUAGUGAAUAAGCCUGACGAGAUCCUGUGGGUUUAUCAGGGGUUUCCACUUUUGCUUCUCCCUCAGUUUCCUCUUGAUGCUACCACGUAAGGAAUGCCUUUCACCUCCUGCCUUGAUUCUGAGGCCUCCCCAGUCAUGUGGAACUGUAAGUCCAAUUAAACCUCCUUUUGUUCCCAGUUUCCGGUAUGUCUUUAUCAGCAGUGUGCAAGUGAACUAAUACACAGGGUCUCAAAGGCAUGUUUGUACAUCCAUGUUCAUAGCAGCAUUAUUCACCAUAGCGAAAACAUGGAAACAAUCCAAAUGUCCAUCAAUGAUGAAGGGACAAACAAAAUGCUCCACAUACACACAUACACUCACAUGGGAACUUCCAAAAGUUUGUGGGAAAAUGGAAUUAAAAGAUAAAAAUACAUAAACUUUAGCUCUCAGCAUAAGCUCCAUCACGUUCAAGAUGCUUUUGUAAUGAUGGCAGACAUUUAGUCCAUCUCUAAAGGACUAAGGAUCCUGGGAAUUUUUCUAUUUUAUUUAUUUAUUUUUAUUUUUUUGUUAAAACAGGGUCUGGCUAGGUUGCUCAGGCUGGUCUCAAACUCCUGGCCUCAAGCAAUCCUCUCACCUCAGCCUCCCAAAAUGCUGGGAUUACAAGCAUGAGCCACCAGGCCUGGCAUGGGUCCUGGGAACUUAACCAUGUCAAUGAAGCCCUUUUUUUUUACAUUAUUAACGUAAGAAAAAUAGCUGCUCCUUAAAGACUUUUUAAGAUUAGGAAAUGAAGUCAGAAAGAGCCAAAUCAGGAUGGUAAGAAGGAUGGCUAAUAAUUGCCCUUGUUCAAUUAGAGGAAUGAGCAGUAGUAUUGUCAUGGUGGAGAAGGACUCUUUGGUGGAGCUUUUUCAGGCAUUUUUUCUGCUAAAGCUUUGGCUAAUUUCUCAAAAUACCCUCAUAAUAAGCAGAUAUUUCAUUCUUUGGCCCUCUACAGAAAAUCACAUGCAAAAUACUGUGAGCAUCCCCCAAAAACUAUUGCUAUGACCUUUGCUCUUGAUUAGUUUGCUUUUGCUUUGUCUGAACCACUUCCACCUCUUGGUAGCCAUUGCUUUGAUUGUGCUUUGUCUUCUGGAUCACACUUGUAAAGCCUGUUUUUUCUGUUAUUACAGUUCUUCAAAGAAAUCUUUCAUGAUCUUGAUCCCGCUUGUUUCGUAUUUCCAUUGAAAGCUCUAUUCUUGUCUACAGCUGAUCUGGUCACAACAAUUUUGGCACCCAUCAAGUGGAAAGUGUGCUCAACUUUAAUCUGCCAGUCAGAAAUGAAUCUGCCUGACAUUUGUUUGAGCUGCUGCCAGGAAAACAGUCAGAGGUACCGGGCCAAGAAGGUGACAUCAUUUGAAGUCAAGUCAAGUGUCUGAGUUCUGUGCUGACCGCCUGUACUUGAAAAGAGACAUGCUCAGGAGAAGGAUGAAUUCAAAUUACACCUAGGAGAUUUUACUUUAAAAUGCGUAAUUAGUCUUUCAUGUGGUGUAUUGAAUAAAUUUCAAAACUUGUCUUACAUUCAGAUCAUUUUCAAGUUGCAUGUGCAUGUGUAUGUGUGUGUGUGCAUGCAUGUGUAUAUUGGGAAGGAGUGAAAUACAUGCCAAAGCCCCUUUUAUUACUGGCCAAAAGCCAGGCUGUAGCAAUACAGUUGGCCUAAUGAAACCACCUUCAAUGUUUAUUAACCAGUAAUUACAGAGCACUGUGAAAACGAGAGGACUGGGAAUAUUGAGACAAAAAGGACUAAGACUUUCUGUAAAGUAUGUAAAGUAGAAUGGAAGCCACCACUUAGUAAGAAGGGUUUGAAUAAAGAGUUGAAAUUGCUAAGACAAAAAUACCACUUUGUAUGGAAGCACCUUGCCCUCAACUCCCUGGCCUUUUCAUCAGCUUUUUCCUUGUCGAUGCUGUCAUCUUAUCCAAGCUCAGGUGUGUCCAGGGCUCCUGCUCACCUGUGCCUGCUUUCUCUCUUUCUCUUUCUCUUUGUCACAGCAUCAAAUACUAUCUUCAUGAACAAGGAUGUGUGUGUGUGUGUGUGUGCGUGUAAUGUUUAACUCGGCAUAGUACAUGAUGUAUAUAUUUUCAAUGUGAUAUAAUUUGGAUAGGUGUCCUCUCUAAAUCUCAUGUCAAAUUGUAAUCCCCCAUGUUGGAAAUGGGACCUAGUGGGAGGAAACUGAAUCAUAGGGGUGAAUUUCUCACGAAUGGUUUAGCACCAUUCUCUUGGUGCUGUUCUUGUGAGAUUUGGUGCUUUAAAGUUGUGUGGCAUCUCCCCACUCCCUCUUACUCCUGCUUUUGCCAUGUGAUGUGCCAGAGUGCUCCCCCUUUGCCUUCUGCCAUGAUUGGAAGCUCCUGAGGCCCCCCUAGGAGCACACGCCACUCUGUUCCCUAUAGAGCCUGCAGAACUGUGAGCCAAUUAAACAUCUUUUCUUAUUACCCAGUCUCAGGUAUUUAUUUAGAGUAAUGCAAGAAUGGCUUCACACACACACACACACAAUGUCUUCAAGUUUUGUCUGUAGUCACAAAAGUCAUAUGUAUUGUAAAAACAAUUUCAAACCAUAUGAAAUAUAAAAAACAAAAUUUCUCACACCUUUAUUACUAAUUCCACUAUUAGCAGUUUUGGUAUAGGUAUUUUUCUAAAUACAGAGUGUCUUAAAAUAACCUUUUACAGAAUUCAUUAAUGUGAUAUUAGCAUAUGUUCAUAUAUAUUUUAACCAAUACAGAUAAUAAACUGUAAAGUCACAAAUGCUCAAGAUACCCA